CCCCAUCGAAUUGGCUUGCGCCAUGGCUGCCCGAGCUUCUCUUUGGAACGGAUUGGGAAUAAAAGAUGGACUGAAUUCAGCAAUGAUGGCCCUAUUCCGAUGACCGGAGGCCGAUGACAUGCGCGGUGGCGAUGUGUAGCAGGUGGAGUUCAAUUUCGAGGAUUCUUGCCUUUGAUAAAGUCGGCAUCCAAUACCCUCAGUGGCGGAGAUUGAGCCGCGAUAAAGCUGCGACAUGCCCAAAAUGGAGCGACAAACUCAAGUGGAACGAUGGUCGGCACUGGCCUUGCCGGAUUUCAGGGA
rnacentral:lncRNA from 1 species